rnacentral:piRNA from 2 species
UGGGACGUGCAGAGCAAGCAGUGCAUCC